rnacentral:snoRNA from 1 species
AUCCUCCUGAUUCCUUACCUCUUAGAUCUAAAUAUUGGUCUGAGAGGCUAAAAAGGAGGGAAAGUAAAACUCAAGUGGAAUUGGAGUCUUCAGUGACAUACAAGUUUAUUUCAAACGUGG